rnacentral:tRNA from 1 species
UGCAGGCUAGUGGUCAAGCACCUGCUUGGCAUGCUUAAGGCUCUGGGUUCAAUUCCCAGCACUGCAA